AGGUCAAGCUACAAAGGGCGCAUGGUGAAUGCCUUGGCAUCAGGAGCCGAUGAAGGACGUGAUAAGCUGCGAUAAGCUUCGGGUAGGCGCACAUAGCCUGAGAUCCGAAGAUCUCCGAAUGAGGAAACUCACAUGGGAAACCCCAUGUAUCAUUAAGUGAAUACAUAGCUUAAUGAAGGUAACCCAGGGAACUGAAACAUCUAAGUACCUGGAGGAAGAGAAAGAAAAAUCGAUUUUCUUAGUAGCGGCGAGCGAAAGGGAAAGAGCCCAAACCGGAAACUUGUUUCCGGGGUUGUGGACAUAGCAUCAAAGUGGAGGCUAUUGUAACUGAAGAGAACUGGAAAGUUCCACCGUAGAAGGUAAUAGUCCUGUAAGUGAAACGAGAAGACCACGAGUUAUGAUCCAGAGUACCACGAGACACGUGAAACCUUGUGGGAAGCAGGGAGGACCACCUCCCAAGGCUAAAUACUACCUGAUGACCGAUAGUGAAGCAGUACCGUGAGGGAAAGGUGAAAAGAACCCCGGGAGGGGAGUGAAAUAGAACCUGAAACCGUGUGCCUACAACCGCUCAGAGCCCCUUAUGAGGGUGAUGAGGUGCUUUUUGUAGAACGAGCCAACGAGUUACGGUAUGUAGCAAGGUUAAGUACUUAAGGUACGGAGCCGAAGGGAAACCGAGUCUGAAUAGGGCGACUAGUUGCAUGCCGUAGACCCGAAACCGGGUGACCUAUCCAUGGCCAGGUUGAAGCGAGGGUAAAACCUCGUGGAGGACCGAACCACGUUGCUGUUGAAAAAGCAUGGGAUGAGCUGUGGAUAGCGGAGAAAUUCCAAUCGAACCCGGAGAUAGCUGGUUCUCUCCGAAAUAGCUUUAGGGCUAGCGUCGAGUAUGAGUAGUGGAGGUAGAGCACUGAAUGGGCUAGGGGGCAUAGCGCUUACCGAACCUUAUCAAACUCCGAAUGCCACAUACUUUGAGCUCGGCAGUCAGACUACGAAUGAUAAGAUCCGUGGUCAAAAGGGAAACAGCCCAGAUCGUCAGCUAAGGUCCCAAAGUGUAAGUUAAGUGGGAAAGGAUGUGAGAUUUCUAAGACAACUAGGAUGUUGGCUUAGAAGCAGCCAUUCAUUAAAAGAGUGCGUAAUAGCUCACUAGUCGAGAGAUCUUGCGCCGAAAAUGUAACGGGGCUAAACUUACCACCGAAGCUACGGGCUUGAACUUAGUUCAAGCGGUAGGAGAGCGUCGUAACCGGGCUGAAGUCGUACCGUAAGGAGCGGUGGACUGGUUACGAGUGAGAAUGUUGGCAUCAGUAGCGAGAUGUGGGUGAGAAUCCCACAGGCCGAAAACCUAAGGUUUCCUCAGGAAGGUUCGUCCGCUGAGGGUUAGUCGGGACCUAAGCCGAGGCCGAAAGGCGUAGGUGAUGGACAACUGGUUGAUAUUCCAGUACCACUACCAUCGUUAUUAUCGAUGGCGUGACGCAGGAGGAUAGUGUGUGCUAGCUAUUGGAUGCUAGUCUAAGCGUUUAGGCAGUGAGAGUAGG
rnacentral:rRNA from 1 species